rnacentral:lncRNA from 12 species
CCCCCCCCCCCCCCCCCCCCCCCCCCCCCCCCCCCCCCCCCCCCCCCCCCCCCCCCCCCCCCCCCCCCCCCCCCCCCCCCCCCCCAAAAAAAAAAUUCCAAUCCCAAUUUCCCGGUCCCGUCUCGCCCUCGUUCUUGGGAACUCGAAGCCAUGGCGUGACCCCUGCGUGACCCUGUGACCCCUGCGUGACCCCGUGACCCCUCCGUGACCCCUCUGUCCGUGCUUGCUCGAGGCUCUCCCAGUCCCUGUCCCGCCACUGCCCCUCCCACGGCCUCCUUCCCCUUCUCCUUUGCCAGCCCUUCUUUCUCCUCCCCCAGCCCUUUUAGUCCCAUUUUUCCCCUUUUCCAUCCCUUUUAUUCCCAUUUUCCAUCCCUUUUUUCCUUCCUUUCCCUCAGUUUUCUCCAUCCCUUUUAUUCCCCUUUUCCAUCCCUUUUUCCCUUCCUUUCCCUCUGUUUUCUUCUCUUCCUUUUCCAUCCUUUUCCCCCUUCUCUUCCUUUCCCAUCCCUUUUUUCCUUCUCUUCCUUCUCCUUUUCCAUCCCUUUUCUCCUUUUCCUUCCUUUCCCCCCUUCUCCUUUUCUGUCUUUUCCUCCUGCUCAAUUUUCUCCUCCUCCUUUUCCAUCAGUUUUUUCCUCUUUCUCCUCCUCCUCAUCCCUUUUCUCCUUUUCCAUCUAUUUUUUCCUCCAUCCCUUUUUUCCUCCUCCUCCUUUUCCAUCCUUUUCCCCCUUCCUUUUCCAUCCCUUUUCUCCUUUUCCAUCCCUUUUUUCCUCUUUCUCCUCCUUCUCCAUCCCUUUUCUCCUCCUCCUUUUCCAUCCCUUUUUUCCUCUUUCUCCUCCUCCUCCAUCCCUUUUCUCCUCCUCCUUUUCCAUCUCUUUUUUCCUCCUCCUCCUCCUCAUCCCUUUCCCAUCCCCUUUUUCCCCUUUCCCAUCCCCUUUUUUCCCUUUUUCCCCAUUUUUGGGGCUGCACCAGGGGCUGGAGCCACCCUUGGGAACGAACAAACCCCACGGAGCCACCCCGAGUUUGGGGUUUGGGGUUCGGGGUCUGGUGCUCAGCAAACCCCUGAUCCAGGGGGGGAACUGGGAUGAACUGGGAGAACUGGGGGGGGACUGGGAGGGGCCCCUUUGCCCUGCACCCCACUCUCAUUGCUGCUACUGGUGUGCACCCCCUGCUCAGCUCCCCAACCCUCUGGGGCCGUUCCAGCUCCGGCUGCUCCCCUUGUUCAUUCAUUUCAUUUCAUUUCAUUUCAUUUCAUUUCAUUUCAUUUCAUUUCAUUUCAUUUCAUUUCAUUUGGUUUCAUUUGGUUUUAUUUGGUUUUAUUUGGUUUGGUGUGGUUUGGAUCUGGCUGGGGCUGGGCUGGGUUUGGGUUUUGGUUGUUCUCUCUCUCUCUCUCUCUCUCUCUCUCCCCUGGCGAUGUGUGUUGGGUCCUUUCCCUGUCACAGGCGCUGGUUGGUGUCGGGGUGUUCGCUGCCGUGUACAAGCAUUGUGACUGCAAAUAAAAAUCAAUGGUUUCUAUGGCGCGGCUCCCUGCGCCCCCGAGGACGCGGGGGCACCCCGAGAACAGCCCGGGGGCACCCCAAAAACAGCCCGGGGGCACCCCAAAAACCUGGAGAGCACCCCAAAAACAGCCCGGGGACACCCUAAAAACAGCCUGGGGAGCACCCUAAAAACCCUGAGAGUGCCCCCAGAACCCCGGGCGACACCCCAAAAACCCUGAGUCACCCCAAAAUCCUGGGAGAUACCCCAAACCUCAGAGAGUCACCCCAAAAACAGCCUGGGGGCCCCCCAAAAACCCUGGGAAGCACCCCGAAGCUCUGUCACCCCAAAAACCCUGAGAGUGCCCCCAGAGCAUUGAGUCACCCCAAAAUCUCGGGAGGCACCCCAAAACUCCGAAGAGUCACCCCAGAGCCCCAAGAGUCACCCCAAAACUCCAGAGAGUCGCCCCAAAACCCAGGAGUCACCCGAAAACUGGGAGUCACCCUGAAAUCGUGGGAGAUACCCCAAAACCCCGGGGGGCACCCCAGAACAUCGAGAGUCACCCCAAAAAUCUGAGAGUCACCCCAAAACCCCAGGAGUGCCCCCACAGCCAAAUCCAAGUUAACCCCAAAACCCCAAAAUCCAAUUUAACCCAAAAAUCCAAUUU